rnacentral:rRNA from 1 species
UACGAGGGGGGCGAGCGUUGUUCGGAAUUAUUGGGCGUAAAGGGCGCGUAGGCGGCCUUGUAAGUCAAAGGUGAAAUCCCUCGGCUCAACUGAGGAACUGCCUUUGAAACUGCAAGGCUUGAGGCCGGGAGGGGGUAGCGGAAUUCCCAAUGUAGCGGUGAAAUGCGUAGAUAUUGGGAGGAACACCAGUGCGAAGGCGGCUACCUGGACCGGUUCUGACGCUGAGGCGCGAAAGCGUGGGUAGCAAACAGG